CGCCAUAGGUUGUGGGUAGCAGUAAUGCCCCAGCGGCCCGUUUACGAGCCGUAGACCAGCCUAUGGCGUU
rnacentral:ncRNA from 12 species